rnacentral:rRNA from 1 species
UACGUAGGGGGCAAGCGUUAUCCGGAUUUACUGGGUGUAAAGGGGGCGCAGACGGCAAUGCAAGCCAGGAGUGAAAGCCCGGGGCCCAACCCCGGGACUGCUCUUGGAACUGCAUGGCUGGAGUACAGGAGGGGCAGGCGGAAUUCCUAGUGUAGCGGUGAAAUGCAUAGAUAUCACGCAGAACUCCGAUUGCGAAGGCAGCAUACCGGCGCGCAACUGACGCUCAUGCACGAAAGCGUGGGUAUCGAACAGG